rfam:Pseudoflavonifractor capillosus ATCC 29799 B_capillosus-2.0.1_Cont151, whole genome shotgun sequence.
CCGCACUAGUCGGGGAGAUAGCGGUGCCCUGUACCCGCAAUCCGCUACAGCGGGGAUGAACCCCGGCCCCCGGAUCUAUGCUGUGCCGUCUGCUCCUUAUAAGCGGCGAUGAGGAAUCGGUCCCGCGCAACGGGGCCCCGCGAACCGUGUCAGGCGGGGAACCGAGCAGCACUAAACGGAAUGCCUCGUGUGCCGCGGAAUUCCCGUUUCCGAGCUGGCUGUAAGGGUUACGGGCAUAGCACAGACUUCAAAGGCCGGUGUGCGG